UGGACUGGUCAUAGGGCCCAGGUCCACCCGAGGCGGGGGAAGUCCCC
rnacentral:sRNA from 12 species